rnacentral:snRNA from 1 species
AGAUGUGAGGGUGAUCUGGCUGUGAUAUCUGUCACCCCAUUGAUCUCCAGGGUUGAUUCGCUGAUCUGGCUGGCUAGGUGGGUGUCCCUUCCUCCCUCACUGAUCCAUGUGCGUCCCUCCCAAAGCUGCGUGCUCGGUUGCUUCUUCCCCCCAGAGGAGAGGACUGGUCUUCAGUCAAGGGUAUACGAGUAGCUGCGCUCCCCUGCUCGAACCUCCAAACAAGCUCUCAAACACACUGAUGUAUUAUUCCAUUUCUCCCUGUCCAGAUGGUCCCAUUCAAAUCUGCAGUGUCAUU